UCCUGCUGCUCUCAGAUCAGCACAGAAUCCAUACGCAACAAUAUUUACACUGUCCUGCUGCUCUCAGACAGGUCAGGGCGCAGGUCAGGGGGACAGUUGAAUAUGACAGCUGAAGUUCUGGAUAGCGUAACUUUUUAGGAGAACCGUGGAUCUGAUGUGUGUGUGCAUGUGGAGGCUGUGAGCGUGUGACAGGGCGGUGGGGCUGCUAGCGGCAGGUGCUAUUUUCGCUAUUCGUGUGAGAACAGACAUGAGGCUGCUUCCUGUCAUUGGUGCAUGUUAGCACAGCAUUCAGUGAAACCUGAGAGAGACGCUCAUGAGCAGUCAUAGGUCACAGGUCACAGGUCAUAGGUCACUGCCGUAAACUGAUAAAUAUAAUGGAGAUAAAUGAAGAUCAAGGUGGACAUGAGACGUGGCAGGCCCUGGCACCCCGGCCGGCCCCAGCUGUUCUGGAGAGGAGGGCAGCAGGAGCGCGGUGAGGAGGCACAGAUGGAAUCCACUGCCAACCGCUGUGGCUCUCAGAAAGCCUGCGAGACACAACUGCACCAACAGCUGGACCACUGCGCAGGAGUGCCACUGCAGGAAACAACUCCCUCCAUGAAUAAAAACAGAUUCUUCAUCUGUC